GAUGAAGAACGCAGCGAAAUGCGAUAAGUAAUGUGAAUUGCAGAAUUCAGUGAAUCAUCGAAUCUUUGAACGCAUCUUGCGCUCCUUGGUAUUCUGAGGAGCAUGCCUGUUUGAGUGUCAUUAAAUUCUCAACUACACUGACUUUGAAUUGGUGUGGCUUGGAUUUGGGGGGAAAAUUGUUGUGGGCUUUUUGUAUAGUCUGCUCCCCUGAAAUUGAUUAGCGGUACCUUUGUGGAACUGUCUACAGGUGUGAUAAUUAUCUACAUCUUAGACAUCUGCUGGAAUGCUGCUUUCUAAACCUUACUUGUAUUGACAGUCUUGACCUCAAAUCAGGUAGGACUACCCGCUGAACUUAAGCAUAUCAAUAAGCGGAGGA
rnacentral:misc_RNA from 1 species